GAUGAACGCUGGCGGCGUGCCUAAUACAUGCAAGUCGAGCGAACGGACGAGAAGCUUGCUUCUCUGAUGUUAGCGGCGGACGGGUGAGUAACACGUGGAUAACCUACCUAUAAGACUGGGAUAACUUCGGGAAACCGGAGCUAAUACCGGAUAAUAUUUUGAACCGCAUGGUUCAAAAGUGAAAGACGGUCUUGCUGUCACUUAUAGAUGGAUCCGCGCUGCAUUAGCUAGUUGGUAAGGUAACGGCUUACCAAGGCAACGAUGCAUAGCCGACCUGAGGGGGGAAGGGGCCACACGGGAAGGGAGACACGGCCAAGAGCACGAGGGGAGGCGGCAGAGGGGAAUUUACGGAAAGGGGAGAAAGCCUGACGGAGCAAGGCGGCGUGAGUGAUGAAGGUCUUCGGAUCGUAAAACUCUGUUAUGAGGGAAGAACAAAGGUGAAAGUAACUGGGCACAUCUUGACGGUACCGAAAAAAAAAGCAACGGCUAACUCCGUG
rnacentral:rRNA from 1 species